UACGUAGGCAGCGAGCGUUGUUCGGAAUUACUGGGCGUAAAGAGUGUGUAGGCGGUGCUCUAAGUUCGGUGUGAAAUCUCCCGCUUAACUGGGAGGGUGCGCCGGAAACUGGAGUGCUCGAGCGUGGGAGAGGAAAGCGGAAUUCCUGGUGUAGCGGUGAAAUGCGUAGAUAUCAGGAGGAACACCUGCGGUGUAGACGGCUUUCUGGACCAUAGCUGACGCUGAGACACGAAAGCGUGGGUAGCAAACAGG
rnacentral:rRNA from 1 species